AUUAAUUACUCUCAGUGUGUUUGUCUCCUUGGUGAAGGUGAAGUCUUUUACUUCCUGUUUCACACUCGUUCAGAUCAAGAUCCUUCUUCAGAACGAACGAACAUUAUUCCACCGCUCUGGAAACUGAAACACGUGAUGAUGAUUCGACCACGCCAGCGGGGCGAGACACUUAACCGUUUCUGUUUCCAUGGCGAUGUGCUCCCAGGCUCCCGCCCUGUCGACAUCCCAUUGCUCAUUGCCGUGGCGACCCUUAUCCAGAGAUAAAUCAUUCAGCGGCGGCUCGCGGACACGACAUUAACUAGAUUCUGUCAUCUGGCUGAACACGACGAGCGGCGGCGUCCGCCGGCCACGACCCGGAGAGCAGAGCCAAUCACAGCAGCAGGCGGGACACAAAUCAUCAUCAUCAUCAUCAUCAUCAUCAUCAUCAUCAUCAUCACAGGAGGAAAGAGUUCAGUGAACUGCAGAAACACCGUUGUGACCGUGAGGUGAAGACGACGCUCUCACUUCACUUCUCUCAGCAGAUUCGACUCAGACGUCAGGCGACAUCAGGCGGCGACGGAGCGAAACAAGAGACGACUCGGACUUUAUUUUCACUGGUUCUCUGGAUUUGAUUGGAUGAAACAGUUCUGAUCGUCGCAGCUCAGACUGGAGUGAAUGUGAGAACAGAACCAAUCAGAACCAGGUCAGAAACCGGAGCUUCCAGAGGGAAACUCACAGCUGGUUUGUGUUGAGGGCGGAGUCGAGUCCAUCCAGGGGAACCAGGACAAACAGACCCUGACUUCAGCCCUUUAAACAGAUGCAUGUGUAUGUUUGUUUGAAACUCCCAGCAUGCAUUGCAGUCUUACCUGAGCAGGAUGAGUUUCACCUUGGAGGCGGCGCUCUUGAUGAUGGCAGAGGCGUUCUGGUGACUCCGCCCAUAAAGAAUCUGGUUGUUGAUCUGUCAAACACAGAGACACACACAUAUAUCGUGAUAUAAUAUGAUAAAAUAUGAUAUAUAAUCGUAUAUAAUAAUGGAAGUGAACGUUAUACAACAGGUAACAUGGUCUUCACACCUCCAGCAGCUCGUCUCCAACUCGGAUGCGUCCGUCCCGGGCCGCCGCUCCUCCGGGGUGG